rnacentral:lncRNA from 1 species
AAAUUCAUCAAAAUAUAGUAUUGAAUUUGAGAAGCAAGCAAGUGCAAAUAAGAUGAUAUAAAUAGACAUGAAAUGUGCUGGUGAGGACUAUAGAUGCUCAACUUAUUGAGGUUUACAGACAAAGAAGAAAUCAAUAGAGGUUUUCACCUCUAACCACUUUCUUAGAAAGUUUCUCAACCAAAUCAUAGUGCCAGUAUCACCAUAGUAUAUAUGGCAUAUAUAUACUGCUACUGGAAUUUCUUCAUGUAGUUACAGCUUCAUAACAUUUUCUUGUGCUUUUUUUCUUCUCUUUGGUUUGUUAUUAUAUCUCUUUUAAUGCUUCAAGCCAUAUGUACUGCAGUUUCAUUGCUUGCAACUGAGCCUUUAAGUUAAUUGUUCUUCUUCUCAUUUGUAAGGUAUGUCUGUUCAUACCAUCCUUCGUUCCUGGCUUUCACGCUUCAUUUGAAUUUACUUAUUUUUUUCGAUCAUAUAAAUUGAGUACUCCAUUGUUAACCUUCUUAAUUUUUUAAUCUUUUAGCAGUUUAAUGUUGUUUAUAAUUUUUGUGCACAAAAGCAUAGUACUUAGGUAAUGUACAACUAUGGCAGACGAACCAAAAAUUCAAGAGUUUUUCCUGCUCUCUUACGAGAUUGAACACACAUUGACAUUCGGCAAUGUCAAUAGCUUAACAUUUUUGGAGUAUUUAGUGAAUAUUAUAUAAUGUUUGCAUUUUGAAUGAGUUUUGGCAUAAAGCAGGAGAAAUCUUGAUCCUUUGAUUUUCUUUUAAGCUUUUCUUUCAUUUUUUUUGGCCCUUCUGCUUUAAUUGCUUCUCGCGUAUGGUAUGAAUCAUGACUAGAAAAAAGGAUGCGACAGCUUUGCUCUGGGAAAAGGCUGCAGGAGUUUUGCUUCAACAAGUCCACGAGAGAUUUCUGGACAAGGCUUGGAGUACUGCUCCAACUUAAAUAAGGUAGGUGCCGUUCUAACACUCCAAAAUUUAUUAUUUGGCUAUAUUAUUUACCUGAAUAAUAUUUCUUUGUCUGAUUGUAUUGGGUGUGAGAAGUUUUGAGGUUAUCAAAAUUAGGAGCUAAGGUAUGUGUUAUGUUGAUAAGAAUACCAUAUCUUUCCUUCAAUCAUGAUUACAUAACUUAACAAAGAGAGAAGCUAAUGGCCUCCAGGUGUAUUCAGUAAUAAUGAUAACCUCAAAAAAUUUCCUUAUGUAAUUGUAAUGUGCAUUAAUUUUCAAUUCAUACAUUUGUGUAUAAGUUGAUUGAUAGAUGGAGAGACAUCAAUGGCUUCUUUUUCUGGUACAUGUCUAAAGCCUACGCUUAUGGUGAUUGCCGGAAUAUAUGAUAUAGUUGAGGCGGGGACGAAAGGCAAUGGAAGUUUUGCAUCUGAACAUAGUCAUUGUCACAAAGUACGGAAAGGAGAAUCAUUGGACUCUCAAUCAUGUUCUAUAUCCAUGCCUAAUAGGACAACUUUAUGAAGGUAAA